UACGGGGGGUGCAAGCGUUGCUCGGAAUUAUUGGGCGUAAAGCGUACGCAGGCGACUCGGUAAGUCGAGUGUGAAAUCCCGGGGCUCAACCCCGGACGUGCAUUCGAAACUGCUGAGCUUGAGUGCGGGAGAGGGAAGCGGAAUUCCUGGUGUAGAGGUGAAAUUCGUAGAUAUCAGGAGGAACACCGGUGGCGAAAGCGGCUUCCUGGCCCGAUACUGACGCUCAUGUACGAAAGCGUGGGGAGCAAACAGG
rnacentral:rRNA from 1 species